UACGUAGGGUGCAAGCGUUGUCCGGAAUUAUUGGGCGUAAAGAGCUCGUAGGCGGUCUGUCGCGUCGGCUGUGAAAACCCGGGGCUCAACCCCGGGCCUGCAGUCGAUACGGGCAGACUAGAGUGUGGUAGGGGAGUCUGGAAUUCCUGGUGUAGCGGUGAAAUGCGCAGAUAUCAGGAGGAACACCGGUGGCGAAGGCGGGACUCUGGGCCGAUACUGACGCUGAGGAGCGAAAGCGUGGGGAGCAAACAGG
rnacentral:rRNA from 1 species